rnacentral:lncRNA from 1 species
CGUGUUUUGAAUUAUACCCCUUGAAAUACCCUGGAUGCUCUGGAUCAGCUCGAGGGCGUUUAACUGAUCCAGGAUCUAUUGGCCUGUGAACGCAGGUGGUGCCAAGUUUUUGACAACUUUACCUUUGGUAAAGUUCUUCUUGUCUUUUCUGAACUGAUGGUUAGGAUCCAGGAACUGUCUAUGCAAUUCAAAGCAAGAAUACUUCCGACCCUCCUGCAACCAAUGAAACUGAAGAGCUG